rnacentral:rRNA from 1 species
AUUGAACGCUGGCGGCAGGCCUAACACAUGCAAGUCGAGCGGAGCGGCGGACGGGUGAGUAUUGCCUAGGACUCUGCCUGGUAGUGGGGGAUAACGUCCGGAAACGGGCGCUAAUACCGCAUACUAUCAGCAGAGCCUAGGUCCGAUUAGGUAGUGGGUGGGGUAAAGGCCCACCAAGGCGACGAUCCGUAACUGGGCUGAGAGGAUGAUCAGUCACACUGGAACUGAGACACGGUCCAGACGCCUACGGGAGGCAGCAGUGGGGAAUAUUGGACAAUGGGCGAAAGCCUGAUCCAGCCAUGCCGCGUGUAUGAAGAAGGUCUUCGGAUUGUAAAGCACUUUAAGUUGGGAGGCGUUACCAACAGAAUAAGCACCGGCUAACUUCGUGCCAGCAGCCGCGGUAAUAC